AUCACCGUUUUCUUCUCUAUAGGUUGACCAAAGAAAAACACCCGACCACAACGUGAGUCGGAGGAGCCGCCGCACCGGAGAGUCCCGCCGCCGGUGAGUUUCAGUUUUCUAUAUUUUUUCAGCCAACUGAGGGCCCUAAGUGUGUUUUCUCGUAGGAACUGAUGCAAAUUUGGCUGAAUUCGACUGAAAACAACCAACCUGAGGUGGAUCGCCACUACAAGCGGCAACGCCGUCGCCUGAGCACGACGGAGCCGCCAUGCCGGA
rnacentral:lncRNA from 1 species